CGAUGAUCCUCCUCUUCACGCCACUGUCGAAGCCCAUCCGCUUUUGUCAUUGCCGCACAUCAUCCUCUUCCUUCCAUGGCAUCGUUCGACACCUCCUCUCCACGCCAGCUGUCAUGUCUCCUUUCCCUCUAAUCCCUCGAUGGUGUCACGUACAUCAUCCACUCUCUCACCCCUCUUGCUCGUUCUCUCCGCCACAUCGUCGCCGCCGCCAAUCCUCUCCGCCACGCCGUCCCAGCCGCCACAACUCCCCACCUUGGCGCGUCCCGGCCUCCUCCCAUCCCCUCCACUCCUCGGUCCCCGCCACAGUUAUCUGUUUCGGCCGGGUCUAGUGAGCAGUGGUGAGACCAGGUGUCGCGGUGAGCAGCCGGAUCCGGCCGUCGGCGAGCCGCGCCGUGGAUCUAGCCAUCCCAGGGCGAUUUCCGGAGCCGAGGGCGACUUGAAGAUUUCUACCUCAAGCUGAGCCGCACCGUCGAUCUGGCCAACCCAGGCUGAGUUGCUGGCUUGCUGCCUGUUGGCCUGCUACACAGCCUACUGAUAGUAUGCUCGGUAUUUGACAGGGAAAUCACACAGCGAAGGUUGGAGACUGAUGCGGAUGCGCGCAAGGGCAACGUUGGAUGACACCUAGAAGAGCAAGCAUAGUGCAGCGAAGGAAGUACCGAGCUUCGGCAGCACUACACCAUCGUCCUCUGCCUCACCGAGCACAUCAAUUUCAUGAGAUGGUGAGAGCAUUUCGACAGAUUGUGUACUUUUCAAUUUUAGACCUUUGUGCUCUAGAUGCCAUUGCUGGAUGUCGACUUGGUGGUGAGAUUUCUCAAAUGCUCCAAUGCUCCAAGUUGAGUCUUAACUUCAAAAUAAAAAACGUAGCAUCUGCAAGUUCUCGACCA